GAUGAAGAACGUAGCGAAAUGCGAUAAGUAGUGUGAAUUGCAGAAUUCAGUGAAUCAUCGAAUCUUUGAACGCACAUUGCGCCCCCUGGUAUUCCGGGGGGCAUGCCUGUCCGAGCGUCAUUGCUGCCCUCAAGCACGGCUUGUGUGUUGGGCCUCCGUCCUCCUCCCGGGGGACGGGCCCGAAAGGCAGCGGCGGCACCGCGUCCGGUCCUCGAGCGUAUGGGGCUUCGUCACCCGCUCUUGUAGGCCCGGCCGGCGCUUGCCGACACAUCAAUCUUUUUUCCAGGUUUACCUCGGAUCAGGUAGGGAUACCCGCUGAACUUAAGCAUAUCAAUAAGCGGAGGA
rnacentral:misc_RNA from 1 species